rfam:Rattus norvegicus chromosome 4, whole genome shotgun sequence.
GGGGAUUUAGCUCAGUGGUAGAGUGCUUGCCUAGCAAGCACAAGGCCCUGGGUUCGGUCCCCAGCUCCG